GAAGCUGACCAGACAGUCGCCGCUUCGUCGUCGUCCUCUUCGGGGGAGACGGGCGGAGGGGAGGAAAGUCCGGGCUCCAUAGGGCAGGGUGCCAGGUAACGCCUGGGGGGGGAAACCCACGACCAGUGCAACAGAGAGCAAACCGCCGAUGGCCCACGUAAGUGGGAUCAGGUAAGGGUGAAAGGGUGCGGUAAGAGCGCACCGCGCGGCUGGUAACAGUCCGUGGCACGGUAAACUCCACCCGGAGCAAGGCCAAAUAGGGGUUCACAAGGUACGGCCCGUACUGAACCCGGGUAGGCUGCUUGAGCCAGUGAGCGAUUGCUGGCCUAGAUGAAUGACUGUCCACGACAGAACCCGGCUUAUCGGUCAGCUUCACUC
rnacentral:RNase_P_RNA from 1 species